GUUCCCAUAGUUGAAGACAACGUUGAUUUUUCAGGUCACUGGUCUCGGUUAAAGUCCGAGUGGGAACA
rnacentral:tRNA from 1 species